AAGAUGGCAGUUACUACGAAGGGGCGUUUGUGGAUGGAGAAAUCAUGGGAGAAGGCCGCCGGCACUGGGCCUGGUCAGGAGACACCUUCUCUGGACAGUUUGUUCUGGGAGAGCCUCAAGGCUACGGCGUCAUGGAGUACAAAGCCGGCGGAUGUUACGAAGGGGAGGUCUCCCACGGCAUGCGGGAAGGUCUGGCGUCCACAGGAGCCGGGUGCUGUGAGGGCGGGCGCUUUCAGGACACGGAAUCCUACAUCCACUUGGGUUCAGGAACCUCUGAUAGGGCCUGCCUGACUUCAGAGGUUGGGAAAGGAGGUAGGGGGCCCAUGCCCUCUUCUCCCCACCCCCAGGCCAUGUCCUAUGCCCUGCAUACACCAGUAUGCCCACCAGGUCCUGUGGCGCUUGGUGCAGCUCUGUUAUCCGCUGCCGCGGAACAGAUGCCCAUGGCUUAGGGGUUAAAAUGGCCACUGCUUUAUGAACUGCUCCUGAUCCUGGGGUCAGUAGGUAGGGCUGGGCCCUGCAGGGAGGGGCUUCUGCUCUGGUCUCAUGUGGGGUC
rnacentral:sRNA from 1 species